UUCUUAUCUGCCAUGCAGCGGGGAGGACCAGUUGGAGAGGUUGCUUUUGGCUCUCACACCUUAGUGUAAAAAUCACUUUGUGAAAAAUGCAGCUGUCACCUCCUUCCUCCAAGAUUCUGAUUCUGCCUCAGUUAGGAUCCAGGAAUCUGCAUUUUAACAUGCACACCAGGAAUUCUGAUGCCCAAGGUUGAGCAAAACUGACUUAGGGCGUACAGACAGAGGAUGCCUUAGUGUGGGGUCUUAGUUGGGUUUCAUUGCUUGGGGCAGUUCCAGGAGGAAUAGGCUAAAAGGGACUUGAACUGAAUUCCCCACCUUGUAUUUUUUUUUUGAGGAGAAGUGAGGUUAGAUCAAUCAGGUGAUGGGGGCUAGUAAUGGGGAGAUCUCUAAGGAGAGGGGAACCAACCCUUUUGGCUAGGAGAUGAUGGGUAAGAGUCCGUGCUUUAGGGUCAUUCUUCCUCAACUGAAAGGUGCAUCUUGCUAUGCUGCUAAUAUUUCGGUUUAUUCAUUGCUGUCUCCCCUCUAAGCUGUUGAGCUAUCAGGUGGGGAAGAAAACAUGACAGAAACAGAUGCCUUCUAUAAAAGAGAAAUGUUUGAUCCGGCAGAAAAGUACAAAAUGGACCACAGGAGGCGAGGAAUUGCUUUAAUCUUCAAUCAUGAGAGGUUCUUUUGGCACUUAACACUGCCAGAAAGGCGGGGCACCUGUGCAGAUAGAGACAAUCUUACCCGCAGGUAGUAGAUUUAUCUACCUAUCAAGAUGAGGCAGUUAAGUGAUAAAAUUACUUUUGGCCAGGUGUGGUG
rnacentral:lncRNA from 1 species